CGGAUGCGGCGGCCUAGCCCUCAGCACCCAUUCCCACCUUCCUCCAGCCUGCCUUCCUGGACUGCGGGGGCCGGACACGGGAGAACACAUGCUGUACUACUAUCUCGUUCCCACAACGUCCAAGACCAGGUGCAACUAAUCCAAGAUAUCCACAACAGCUGAGGCUGGGCUGCAGCGGGGCGCCAGGAACUCAGCCACGUCUCCCACGGGAGUGGCAGAAACGCAAUCAACUGAGUUCCACCGCUGCCCCCUGGGGCGCCUGCAUUAGGAGGAAGCUGGAGUGAGGAGCGGAACCAGAGCGGAAAGCAGGGUGAGGACUCAGACACUGGGUGCAGACUCUCAGAGGCUCCACCGCCUGCUGCCUGAACAACAGUGACGAUCCAGGCCCUUUGCAGCUGCAAGACAGGGGUCACCCUCUAGCCACUGCGCUGGCUGUUUCCAGGCGGAAGGAAGCAGCUUCCAGGCUCCUGGAGCCAGACCUGUUGCUGCAGACACCCUGGAGGUCUUCUUGUUUGCAGGGGCUUUUAGUGGGGUUAAAGGUUAUUGUCCCUUUAAGAGCAUUGUUCUCGAUCAUUGAUCAUUUAGUUCAGGGUUUCCCUACCCCUGGUGGGGAGCAGGUAGUGAACUGGGGAGGGGGGAAAUGUGUUGGUUGAUUUCCUUCAUUAUGUAUUUGUUCCCUUUUAUUCACAGCAACUUAGAAUUGCAUUAUAACACUUUUAAAACCCACCUAAUUUUCAAACACCGACUUGAGAAAAUUAACCUAGGUGAAACACAGAUGCGAUAAAUGCCUAAAGUCUCAGGCAGGCUGUUGUAGUUGAACCUCCUCACUGCUGGAAGGAGAACCUGAAGCAAGGCCCGAGCCUCAGUUUCCUUGUCCUGAAAAUGAAGAUAAAGCCGUCCACGUUGUGGGGUAGGGGUGAGAAUUCAGUAACACACAGAAGGCCCUUAACACGGCGCCGGGGAUAUGAGCGGCUUAUCCACCAGGGACGAGGAACCCUACGUGAGGAUCCCUGUCUUUCUGGAUUGCGGGAUCCCCUAGUGCAAAACAGAGGCACAGGUCAGAGGAUUUCUGCAGGGCCUCCCUGUCCUCUGCUCUCACUGGCCCCAAACACUGGCCCCAGCGAGUGCAGAGAACGGAAGCCACUUCCUCCCCACAUCUAGUUCCCCAUCAUGCUUGGUGCAUGGAGGCACUGAGGUCCCACUGCUAGCCUGGGGACUUCAGCCCUGGGCCUCAGCUGCCUCCUGUCCUUCCUCCUGCCCCAGCCCACCACAGGAGAAGGUCGCGGAAGGCUGAGCGCUCUGUGGGCGCCGCUUCCUGGUGCUCUCCCUUUGCUUUCCUCCUGUUGCGUUUUCACAAGCCUGGUUUUAGGGUGACGACAGCCAUUUUUCCUGUGUUUCUCAGUUGGGAGAUCCCGGUCCCCAGCAGCCCGCCAUGGUGGCAGGCUGGAAGCCCUUCCCCUGCUCUUCAGGACAGCGUCUUUGCCUUGGGAGGUACUGCAGGGGUGCAGUUAGAGAUGGGGUGAGUGCCCCAUCCCCAUGCUAGGAAGUCAGAGGAACAGCAUGAUCAGUGCAGCCCAGCAGGCAGGGUUUGAAUCCUGGUUUUUUUUCUUCACCCUAUGCAGCUCUGUGAUCUUGGACAAGCUACUGUUUUUACCCCUCUCUGUGCCUCAGUUUUCUCAUCUGUAAAACAGAGAUCCUGACACCCACGAAGCCAAGGGUGUUAUAAGGUCUCAGUGAGCACAGUUGAUCCUUUAUUAGUAUUUUGUUUCACUAGUCCUCACUGAGUACACGUGAAAGGCUGCUAACAGCCUAGGGAGAGAGAACUGACAGAAGGCUGCAGGAGGUCGGGCAAAACUUUUUCCUGUGGGCUCCACCUGGUCCAUGUGUAAAAUGGGAUAACUCACCACCUUUGACAACAGGCCCUGGCAGCUGGUCAACCUACUUAAGCACUGGUGGCCUUCUGAGUUUAAAAAUCUACUUAAUUGAUCAUAUUAAGUAUGGAAUUGAUCAUAUACAUAGGACCAUCAGUCAAAGGGAUCACAUAAAUAAGACCAAGUGUCCGGUAAUAACAAUAGAUAGAAUUGCAAAGGAGAGAAAGCUCCAACAUGGGAAGCAGUCCACACAGCUGACUCAUAGAAUGACAAACACCCUAAACAGCACUCUGACCUCAGAAUCAGCCCCUAAGGCCUUUCUGAAAACACCAUGAGAGCACUUCAGGCAUGGAAAGCCAAGACAUAGUGGCAAAAAUGGUUCUGCAUGAAGGAUCUCUAUGAGUGAGACCCCAGUGGAAAGAAGGGGCUAUCAAAGAAGGAGGUACCUUUCUCUGAAGGGAGGAGAGAACUUCCAUUUUGCAUAUGGCCCUGUCUAAAAACCGAUGGCAUUUGUGAACUCAAAAGGCUUCCAUAGCCUUGGCAGCUCAUGUCAAGAGCCUUGGGUGAUACUUACGUCAUAAUUAAGAGUAUCAGUUGUUAAAUCAACAACAGGAAUCACUGUGUACUUGCUCCCCAUGCUGGACCUCUGUCCUUAAUGAGUUGUAUUAUGAAAAUUAACAGUAAAACUAGUCUUCAAACUGUUCUUAAUACUUUGUAUGUCUGUGUGGGUGCAAAUAGUUGAAAUCUAGUUGGUCUUCUGUAUAUAAAGUCAAUUAAAAACGAAUCUUAAUGGAAAAUGGAACAGGAGAGGGAGUGGGAGGUGGGAUGGGAGUGAGAGUGGGAGGGCAGGAAUGGGGGAAGAAACACUAUAUCCCUAAAAGCUGUACAUAUGAAAAUUUGUAUUCAUUAAAUAAAAACCUUCAAAAAAUUAAAAAAGGCAAAUUAGCCUAAUCAUUAUAAAAAAAAAUCUACUUAAUCUGCUCUGCCUUCAAGCAGCACUUCUAGCUGCUAGAGCUCUUUGAAUGCAGUACAAGGAAAAUGACUAAUAAAGUCAGUACUAAAAGGGAAUUCCGCAGUAGGUUUUAAAUAUUUCUUACUCUCUGUGCCCCUUGAAUGAGAUCACAAACAGUACAAUCUUUAAAACAUAUCAGUUAUUGUCCCAUUGCUCAGAACAAAUAUAAACAUAUCCAUUGCCUACUCAAAUUUGAGGAGCCAUCUUUGUUUAAAAAAUAUACUUACGGAGAGAAUAAUACGAUAAACACAUACAAACUGGGAAUUCUGUCCUAUUCUUGCAACUUUUUGAAGUCUGAAACGUUUCAAAAUAAAAGGCUAAAUAAAGGGGCAGGCAAGAGUUCCAGCCCCAGCUUGAAGUGGGGUUCACGUCCGGGUGUGGAGAUGAACCUGAGGCCUGCGUGUGAUCUGGCUGCACCCCCAGCUCCCAAAACCAAGCACCCUGGUCUUCCUCUUUGUGCUUUUUAAGCUGUUUGUCUUUCUUUUUUUCCACAGGCAGAGUUAGACAGUGAGAGAGAGACAGAGAGAGAGUUAUAGACAGUGAGAGAGAGAGGUCUUCCUUAUGUUGAUUCAACCCUCUAAUGGCCGCUAUGGCCGGCGCUGCACGAUCUGAAGCCAGGAGCCAGGUGCUUCCUCCUGGUCUCCCAUGCGGGUGCAGGGACCCAAGCACUUUGGGCCAUCCUCCGCUGCCCUCCGGGGCCACAGCAGAGAGCUGGACUGGAAGAGGAGCAACUGGAACUAGUACCCACCGCCCCAACCGGGACUAGAACCAGGGGUGCCGGCACCACAGGCAGAGGAUUAACCAAUUGAGCCACAGCGCCGGCCCUAAGCUGUUUGUCUUUUGUCCUCCUUUGCAGGGGUGUGCUAGGCAGAUCCGAGGCUCCCGCCUUAUUACUUUGGAGCACAGAAUCGCAGACCAUAGACAGCAGGGACUGGAAUAGAGCAGGGGCCUGCAGUUUCCUUGACAGCUAACUCAGACCGCAAGUAAAGAAACAGGUUCCAGCGCUGGAACUAUGUCUACUGCUUCCCAUCCUUCGGACAGGAGUUGUCAUUCAUUCUUGUAUAUAAAGUGCCCUCCUCUCCCGCUCCAAGCAGAAGGAAUCCAAACUUGUACUGAAGUGCACACACCUGCCUCACCGCUGGAUGAGCACUUACCACCUGGAAUUGGGCUGCUGCGCCCCCUCGUGGGCAGAGUGGGGAAGCACAGUUCCUGCAGAGAUGGUUGCCUGUACAUGCUAACAGCAAUUUUCUGUCACAGCAAUGCACAGGCCACAAAGCUGCUUGGAGGCAAAGCCUUUCCUGAGUAUAGAGCAGGAUACUCUACUAUGCAUGGCUGGGCUUGAAGCAGGUUUUUCCGCCGGAAGACAAGAUGUGGCAUGGUGCCCAGUUUCAGCUCAUUCUGCAUGAGGGGAUGUUCGUGAUCACCCCCAUAGCUGAGCCUCAAGGCCAGGGGCUGCUUCAAGUUGGGGGCCACUCCAGGCACAUGGCCCCUCCACCGCUUCUGCUCUUGGCUUUGCUCCUGUACAUUGACAUCCCCGCUGAGAACCUGCUCUCUGUCUGGAUAUUCUAUUGCAAAGACUAUGGUGUGGGAGUGAGCAUGCAGUUCUGUAGGAUUGGUUACUAGAAAUGGAGCUGCUGAAUUAAGGCUGCUGAUGUUCAGGUUCUGUUGCCCGUGUGUGGUGGACAUCUGCUUCUGCUCCUAGCAGGCUCAAGAGACUAUACCUGUCAGUACGGUGAGUCCAGGACAUCUAAGGAGGAAAUGCCCGGAAACAUCAAGUGGUAGCUGAGGGCCUUAGAGAAGUCAGGUGGGGCUGGAGCCAGCAGCAGCAGCAGACUCUGGGUCUGAGCAGUGUGCUCUUAGGUGAGGAAAAUGGGUUGUUCCAGGAGAAAUCUGGGUGUUUAGUCCUGAUGAAGGAGCGAUGUUUAAUGCCCCAGGGGAGAUGGUUUCAUUUAUCUGCUGGGUACUAAGUGCACACUAACUGUGUGUACACCUUGUGGUAGGUCUCUAACCUAGCCGAGAGUCGGAACCACAUGCACCAAAACACUAAAGCUCAAUGGUCAACAGUUUGCUUUUGAAGUCAGGCAGGACUGGGCUUGACUGUGUAACUGCAAAAGGUUGAGCGAUGGCCCCAAGACAAGACUCCAAGACUUUGCAGAUAUGAGUAAAGUAAGAGCCUCGAGAUUAGGAGAUUAUUCUGGAUUACCCAAGUGGGCCCUAAAUGGAGCCCAGUAUCUUCAUAAGAGGGAGCCAGAGGGAGAUUUGACCAUGGAAAAGAGAUAAGGAGAUUAUGUGAUGGAUGCAGAGAUGCUACGCAAAGACCAGGGAAGGGGGCAGGGCCAAAAAAUGCACAAAAUGUCCUUCUAGAAAUGGAAAAACCCAGGGAGCAGUUUCCUCUGGCCCUUCUGACACUUUCAGCUUAGCCCAGUGCAACUGGUCUUUAGUUUCUGGCCUUUAGAACAAUAAGAGAAGACAUCUGUGUGGUUUCAAGGCACCAAGUUUGUGACAGUUCCUUACACCAGUGGUAGGCAGCUGACAUAAGCAAGGGAAAGGACUUCACCCCAAGCGUCAGUCAGGUGGGAAUAACACCUUGAUUCAUCACACACAUUUUGAGUCUCCCAUGAGCCAGGCUGGUGGGUGCUGGACUCUGGGGCAAAGGAGUCCCUCCCACUUUCUUGGAGGCUAAAUUCCAGCUGGAGGGCACAAACCACCAUGGGCAAGCAAGCACGUAAGCAGGAGAACCACAGGCUAUGAAAGAAAGAGCAGGGCUGUGAUGGAGAGACUGGGCUGGCAGAGGGGCUGGCUUUGGAUAGGAUGGCAGGGGAGACCCUGGGAGGAGAACACACUGGAGCCAAGACCAGCCAGGCAAAAAGCAGAGGGUCCACAGCUCAGGCACAGGGAGCAGCAGGUGCAGAUGUGCGAGGAGGGGAAGGGCAGUGUUUGUUGGAGACAAGGAGCAGGUUCGCGCACAGUGGAAUGCUGCUGGCGGAGACAAACAGGGUGAGGGCGGAAGGGUGGCAGGGGCCAGAGCGUGCGGGGUAUGUGGGCUGUAGUGAGGAGUGUUGACUGCAUUCCCCCAAACAAUUUGGAGCAGGGGAGGUUUUAAGCAAGGUGGCUCAUCACUGGCUGCUGUAAGGAAAUGGAAUUCAGGCAACGAAACUAGUUAGAAAGUUAGUGCUGCCUUCCAAGGGAGAGAUGUUGCUGGCUUGGAUAGAGGUGGUGAAAAUAUUAAAUAACAUAAUGAAUAUUGAAUCCCUGGCAUAUAGUAUGCACUCAGUAAGCAGUAGCUCUUGAUCUGGGAUGAUGGUGAUAGUGGUGGUGGCAGUCAGUCACCAUCACCAUCACCAUCACCAUCAUCAUCAUCAUACUUAGUUUUUGCUGGAAGCAAACAGCUGAAUGAAAUGUGACUGUGUUGAAUGUGCAGUGUGGAUGCCUGCAACAAGUCAGAGAGGUCCCAUCAAGCCCUCAUCCCCGCUCAUCAGGGGAAGCUGUUGCUGAAGCCAUGAACUCCUUCCUUCUCCCCAAUGCACCCUCUGCCAGCAGGUCCAGAAACCUAGAAAACAGAGCCCUUAUCCACACACAUGAAUAGGCAACACAGCUGUGCAGGGCUCCUGAGGGUCAGCUUGUAGUUUGACAGCCUCCACAGUUGGUCCGAUGGACCUUUGGUGAGCUGACCAAAUACGUGGUAUUUGCGUGAAAUCCCCUGAAGACAUCUUACGUGGGCCCCUCUGUGUGACUCCAGCCGUCUCACACCUGAGCACACGCAUGCAAACUCUCUCGUCUCCACCUCCUCAGCACUGCGCCAGCCCAGGCUCCCACCGUCUCUCCCUGACUCAGCCACCACCUCCUCACAGGCUUCCCUGCUUCCUCUCUUGCUCUUCUGUCCUCCAUUCUCCAUGAAAAUCUUUCCAAACCCUGACACACAUUAAAUGACUCCCUAAUUUUUUUUUUUUUUUUGACAGGCAGAGUGGACAGUGAGAGAGAGAGACAGAGAGAAAGGUCUUCCUUUGCCGUUGGUUCACCCUCCAAUGGCCGCCGCGGCCGGCGUGCUGCGGCCAGUGCACCGCGCUGAUCCGAUGGCAGGAGCCAGGAGCCAGGUGCUUUUCCUGGUCUCCCAUGGGGUGCAGGGCCCAAGCACCUGGGCCAUCCUCCACUGCACUCCCUGGCCACAGCAGAGAGCUGGCCUGGAAGAGGGGCAACCGGGACAGAAUCCGGCGCCCCCACCGGGACUAGAACCCAGUGUGCCGGCGCCGCUAGGCGGAGGAUUAGCCUAGUGAGCCGCGGCGCCAGCCGACUCCCUAAUUCUUUACCUUGAGCUGCAAACCUUCCUGGCCCAAGCCCUCAUCUGAGCUCUGUCCCCUAUGCGCACAGAAUUCAGGUCACCCUGGAUCUCUCCACUGCCUACGCCUGCCUUCUCCCUUACACCUGCUGCCCCUGCCUAACCACCAGCCUCAGUCUCCGAUGUCCCACAGCUGCCUCCUCCUCUUCAGAUCUUGGCUUCAACGCCACCUUCUCAAAAUCCUUACCUGACAGCUUUCUCUCCAUCGCCUCCUCCCUCCCACCCUCAUCAUCCUCUGCAACAUCAUCAUGGUCAUUUUCUUCAAGGCAUGAACCACCAUUUUCAGUUAUUCCUUUCUU